rnacentral:rRNA from 1 species
ACGGGGACCCGCACAAGCAGCGGAGCAUGUGGUUUAAUUCGAAGCAACGCGAAGAACCUUACCAGAUCUUGACAUCCAAUUGACCAUCUUUUAAUCGAGUAUUUUGCCUUCGGGUACAAUUGAGACAGGUGGUGCAUGGUUGUCGUCAGCUCGUGUCGUGAGAUGUUGGGUUAAGUCCCGCAACGAGCGCAACCCUUGUGUUUAGUUGCAAACAGGUCAAGCUGUGCACUCUAGACAGACUGCCGUGGACAACACGGAGGAAGGUGGGGAUGACGUCAAAUCAUCAUGCCCCUUAUGAUCUGGGCUACACACGUGCUACAAUGGCCGGUACAACGGGCAGCGAAGGAGCGAUCCGGAGCGAAUCCUAAAAAGCCGGUCCCAGUUCGGAUUGCAGGCUGAAACUCGCCUACAUGAAGUUGGAGUUGCUAGUAAUCGCGAAUCAGAAUGUCGCGGUGAAUGCGUUCCCGGGUCUU